rnacentral:lncRNA from 13 species
UUUGAAGUGAUAAGUUCUCACUCUGAUUUGGCCUCUUGUGUAGAACCUUGGGACUAACAGUUCUUGGGUAAUUUUUUACAUAGUGAAAUUUAAAGAUAUUUUUACCUCAUGUCCACUCACAUUGCUUUUUCAGGAUUUUCAGAUAAAACACACUCUGUUUACAAUGACAGUUUAAGAAAUAUAUUCCCUGACAUUUCCAAAGAGGGGUGCAGGCUCAACCAAGCUAAGUUCUGGCAGAAAAUGAUAUGUCUGAUUUUUGAUUUAUUAAGAGACCUAAUAUAGGAAGCAUUAAAUAAUCAUAGGAUUUGCAUCCUUUGUUUCUUUUGGUGAGUGUAUCAGUUUCCUAGGGCUGCUGAAACAAAGCACCUCACACUGGGUGACUUAAAACACAGACCUUUAUUCUCUCACAGUUCUGGAGGCCAGAAGUCCAAAAUCAAGGUGUUGGCAGGGCCAUGCUUACUUGGAAGCCUAUAGAGGAGGAUUGUUCUUGGCCUCUGAUUCUGGGGCCUCCCAGCCAUGUGGAACUGUCCUUGAGGAAUAGCCACACUGUCUUCCAACUCUUAAACAAGUUAGCAGUGUUGGAGAAGAAACUGCUGGGUAUCCUGACCACAAGUCUUCAGGACCUUGAAGUGUUCCUUCAUACCCAUCCAUCUGGAGAAGAUGCAACUGGUGUUUUGGAUGCUGCAGAGAAUCUCCAGCAGCAAGAAGGCAAUCAUUAGAUGCAGCCCCACAGCCUCGGACUCACCAGCCUCCAGAACUAUAAGAAAUAAAUUUCCUUUCGUUAUAAAUUAUGGAGUCUAAGGUGGGAAGAAAGGUGGAGUUGGCUAUAUCCUGCUCCCACAUGGAAAGCUAGAGCAGAUUGCUUUCCCCUGGAGUUUUCAGAUCUCAGCGUUGUCCACACAGCUUCCAGCAAUUCAUCAAUUACAGUGCAAGUUUUCCUACCCUAGCACUGAUUCCUGCGGUGGUUUCCUGAGUGUCUGCUCUGGUAAGCCAUGACUUGCGAUAUUGUUCUGUCUCUCCGGUCCUGGGGGCUGCAGUUUGCCUUGUGUUCUCAACCCUUUUAUGGAUGCUAGAAAAGUUGCUGAUUUUUCAUUCUUUUUGAAUUUUUACCUGUUGUUAGAACAGAGGGGCAGCUUCCAAGUUUCUCACAUGCAGAACAGGACUAGAUUAUUAAUAUGAUUUUGUUAAAGGCUAUUAUAGACAUCAUAUAAUUCAUG